ensembl:lncRNA
CAACAACAAAGCCACUUAAAGAAGAAACCACUGGCACAACAACUGCUGCUACAACAGCUGUAGUUGAAACAACCACCUCAGUGCCAAAGCCCUCAACAACUAGCCCUGAAACAACAGUUGUAACUUCAACACCAACCGUUGAGACGGUGACAACAGUGACUACAUCAGUAACAACAGAAGGUACUACAGAAAAACCCACUGAAAUUACAACCUCAGAGGUUUCAACAGCUGCGACUGUAUCAACAACAAAGCCACUUAAAGAAGAAACCACUGGCACAACAACUGCUGCUACAACAGCUGUAGUUGAAACAACCACUUCAGUGCCACAGCCCUCAACAACUAGCCCUGAAACAACAGUUGUAACUUCAACCUCAACUGUUGAGACGGAGACAACAGUGACUACAUCAGUAACAACAGAAGGUACUACAGAAAAACCCACUGAAACUUCGACAUCCGAGGUUUCAACAGCUGCGACUGUAUCAACAACAAAGCCACUUAAAGAAGAAACCACUGGCACAACAACUGCUGCUACAACAGCUGUAGUUGAAACAACCACCUCAGUGCCACAGCCCUCAAC